ACUCCUACGGGAGGCAGCAGUGAGGAAUAUUGGUCAAUGGAGGCAACUCUGAACCAGCCAUGCCGCGUGCAGGAAGACUGCCCUAUGGGUUGUAAACUGCUUUUAUACAGGAAGAAACUUAGUUACGUGUAACUAACUGACGGUACUGUAAGAAUAAGCACCGGCUAACUCCGUGCCAGCAGCCGCGGUAA
rnacentral:rRNA from 1 species